rnacentral:rRNA from 1 species
UACGUAGGCGGUUUGGUAAGUCAGGUGUGAAAUCCCGAAGCUCAACUUCGGAACUGCAUCCGAUACUGCCAGACUAGAGUAAUGGAGGGGCAGGUGGAAUUCUUGGUGUAGCAGUGAAAUGCGUAGAUAUCAAGAGGAAGACCAAUGGCGAAGGCAGCCUGCUGGACAUUUACUGACGCUGAGGUACGAAGGCUAGGGUAGGCGAAAG